rnacentral:lncRNA from 1 species
CUUUGCUAAGAGAAAUGGAUUGAGAUGAUGGCCAACUCAUCAAGUCCAAAAUUCCAGAUUGAGUAAAGCAUUAGGGAUGCAGGGAUGGACCGGAGCUGACCAGACCUCUUCCACCAUCCUAUCACCACCACGAGGACCAACGGGGCGGUUCAUUGAAACGAAUGCUUGUCCUGUACCAGGCACUGGAGCGCUCGGACUAUUGAAUCGUCGUGGUCCCCAUUCAGGACCAUCUCACGUCAGAUCUGGACGGAGACGAAAGCAGAUACUCAUUUGUUCGUUGGAGGUAGUUUGUGGCAGUUUCGUCAGCCCCUCCCUGACUGAACACUGUUCUUCUGGAACGGCCACACGGCGGGAGAGGCCGCCCGGUAGAAGAGCCAGCAACUUCGUUUUGCAGGCAAGGGCUUUCUGGAAAGAAGGUUAAAG